rnacentral:rRNA from 1 species
UACGAAGGGGGCUAGCGUUGCUCGGAAUCACUGGGCGUAAAGCGCACGUAGGCGGCUUUCUAAGUCAGGGGUGAAAUCCCGGGGCUCAACCUCGGAACUGCCUUUGAUACUGCGAAUCUUGAGUCCGAUAGAGGUGGGUGGAAUUCCUAGUGUAGAGGUGAAAUUCGUAGAUAUUAGGAAGAACACCGGUGGCGAAGGCGGCCCACUGGAUCGGUACUGACGCUGAGGUGCGAAAGCGUGGGGAGCAAACAGG